rnacentral:lncRNA from 1 species
AGUGCACUAUCGUUGCAUGCCAUAUGGUCGAAGUAGAAAUGGAAGAACCUUCAAAAGGCAAAGAUAUCACCACUGAGGGAGAAAAAACCCUCACGCUCGAAGAAGGUCUGCCAACACACUUUAGCAUUGAGGAAGCGCUACGAUUGCCAAAGAAGAUGCGAAACGCAUUAGCAGCGGUCUUGGAAAGUCCCAAUGACCACGAAGCGCAAGAAAGCAAAGACGAAGGCUUGAAGCUUCGGCCACAUGGAU